UUUUAAAAGGAGGGAGAUGUGGUAUUCGUACAUAUAUAUUUAGAGUACAUAUUUACAUAGAGUGAAAUGUACUCAGAAUACUUGCAUAAAUCAAUAACAUAAUUACAUAGGCAUUGGCAGUUCUAGCAUAAACAAUAAUGUUCAAGUGGAAGCGUUAUAUGAUCGUCUGCUUAUGAAGCACACUGCACAAAUGCAUGGUCAGCAUUCCCACGCUAACCAAAUGCAGCUAUAUACAUACUGUGCGCACAUAGCAUUUUCGCUCAACUCUUUUAACAUACAUAUAUAAUACAUAUACAUUCACCAGGCAGCGAAGGCGCACUUCAUAGCCUAAGAAGAAUAUUGUAUUAGCUUUAAGAAUCAGUCGAGUUUUACCACUGACACGAGUCUAACUAUAAAAUAAACGCAGGUAUGCUCCAUAAAGAAACAUUCAAAGGAUUUUCAAUAUUAGAGUGGAUCCUCGGAGACACUCAUAGGCUACGUGCUCUUUAAGCGUUUAAGUAUUAUCCAUUAUGUAUGCAGUGGACUUAUCAAAGCCAGGAUGGAAAGAAACUCAGUUCGUUUCAAUAUUUAAGUCUCUGGGGCAGACGAAACAAAAUCUUACUGGCAAAAUGACGUUCACACCGUCAAGAACUUGGGUUUAGCAGGUCGUCAACGUAAAUGUGUAAAUGGAAUUCCUUUGAAAUCCUAUUGGAAUGCUGAACCAAUGCUCUUGAUUGGUACGAAUAACUGGAAGCUAGACGUAGCUCGAAAAAUAGAAGAAGGAAAGUGGUACGAGCCAAUCGAUUCAAAGUGCAUGCUUGGCUGGGGACAACAAGGCUCCAUCAGACCCAAAGUCGCAUAUUCCAUCCAUCACUGUCAGUGCAUUUAAAACAAUUAAUAAAGCCAUAAAACAAUCUAUAACGUGGACUCUGUUUAUUUUAAAACAUUUCGUUCCAUCGAUGACGGAAAAGCUCUCACUAGCAUAUUGUCGUCCGGACGUACCGGAAAGCUAUAACACCGCUUUGAGUAAACUGUCUAAAAACAAAAGUCAGCUAAGAAACUGACUUUUACACUAAGAUUGAACUACAAAUGAACAACUGCUAGAGAAAGGCUAUGUAGUCGAGUUUUCCAGUGACAACAUGAUUGUAAAAAAUGAGCGCAUUUGGUACUUCCCAAUAUUUUUUAUUUUUUUUUUUGUUAAAUAAGGAAACAAAAGCAAAAAAAAAUAUUUGUGAUAAAAUAAAUUACCUUCGAAAUAUCCUGUUCUUCAUGUAUUGCACACUUUGUUCGAUAUGAGAAUGCGAAGGAACACAAACUAGAGAGCCCCGAGCAUUUGACGAAAUUACAGAAGCACAGUACGGCGAUGAAUACGAAUACAGCCUAGCUACCGAAGUAGAAGCGAUCGAUGUAACCUUCAAACUCCGAGACAUAAACUCUGACGUUGGCUUUCAUACAGGGAACUGGGCGUUUAACUAACUAGAAGCCUUGAAACAAAUACAGGAUUCUUCGCCAGAUACGCAAACACUCAAGGAGCUCGGAGUCAUACAGAAAGUUCUCGCACACCAAACAAAACGAGAGGUUCUGCAAAUCUAGAUGUCAAUAUUUGACCCUUAGGAUGCUUGUCUUGCUUCACAUACCAGCGAUUCAAUUAAACGUCGAGCGACCGCUACGUUCCUCCUAUAUCUAGCCAUCCUUCGAGCUAGAUGCAAAGGGCAUACAGUUUAGGGAAGCUCCAAGAGAUACCUUCAAAUCAGAAAUCGACAUACUUCAGUCAAACGGAGUCAUACAAAUGCCAAGCUGUUUAAUCGGACUAAACGUUUACAUCGACGAUUUCGGAACCAAGGCCGGUCAGAUUCCAAUAACCAAAAAUUGUUUUGCCAAAGCGCCAUCACAUCACGUUUCUUAUAGUAAAGGACUUCCACGAAAGUGGAAUCAUCACAUGCUCCACAAAGGGACCAUUAAUCAAAUACGAAGCCAUUGUUUUAUUCCUCAAUUGCGUGUCGUAUUGCGGUCCGAAAAUGUUGUAAGAGAUCUAAAACCAAUUACGCCGUCCCGGAACCACCUGCCGAAAUGGCAUCAUUGCCACCUGGCAGGGUCGCCAUAUGUGAGAGCCCAUUUACCCACACCGGGGUAGAAUUUUCGGACCUAUACUCGUGACCGGGGUAAAUCGUUGGGCAUAUAGGAAUAGCCUACAGCUUGGAUACCAGCUCUUGUGCGAUGUGUCUUACUAACUUCAUGUCCCGACGAAGGAACACCGAGGAAAAUAUUCUCAGAUAAUGACACAAAUUUCAAGGCAACAGAGAAGUUGGGGAAGGAAGAACUAAAAAAGGUGGACUUCGGAAAACUUGUUGUUAAAUAUGACCAGACCAAGUGGCGCUUCAAUCCCCAUAUGCCAUUGAAGCCAUUGUUUUAUUCCUCAAUUGCGUGUCGUAUUGCGGUCCGAAAAUGUUGUAAGAGAUCUAAAACCAAUUACGCCGUCCCGGAACCACCUGCCGAAAUGGCAUCAUUGUCACCUGGCAGGGUCGCCAUAUGUGAGAGCCCAUUUACCCACACCGGGGUAGAAUUUUCGGACCUAUACUCGUGACCGGGGUAAAUCGUUGGGCAUAUAGGAAUAGCCUACAGCUUGGAUACCAGCUCUUGUGCGAUGUGUCUUACUAACUUCAUGUCCCGACGAAGGAACACCGAGGAAAAUAUUCUCAGAUAAUGACACAAAUUUCAAGGCAACAGAGAAGGUGGGGAAGGAAGAACUAAAAAAGGUGGACUUCGGAAAACUUGUUGUUAAAUAUGACCAGACCAAGUGGCGCUUCAAUCCCCAUAUGGGCGGAGCGUGGGAGCGCUUGAUUCGAUCCAUUACACCUAACUCCAACUACAACGACGAGACACUUAGGAAUGCUUUGAUGAGUGCAGAGUACAUAAUAAACUAACGCCCCUUAACUUUUGUAUCUAUUGAGGCAGAGGACGAUGACGCGCUGACGCCCAAUCACCUACAACUUAAAUCUGCAGAUGGCUACAAGCCACUGGUUACAAGUGAGUCAAACGCAACACAACGUUGGUAUCAGAUUAAGGAAUAACCAGACCAGUUUUGAAAGAGAUGGGUAAAGGAGUAAACGCCAAUCAUCACUAGACGGUUCAAAUGAUUUUCAAAACGACCACCACUAUACGUCGGAGACAUAGUAAUUAUAGUGGACGAUAAUCUCCCAAGGAACCUGUGGCCCAAAGGAAGAAUUGUGGAAGUCUGAACAGCAAAAGAUGUUCAGAUACGAUAAAAAGCUCUACUGCAUUGUAUUACAGAUAUCUAAGUAAACCGCUGUAGCUGUUUACUUGGGGGAAAUGUUACCACCACGGUUCAUCAAUUUUCUUUAUUUAUUAUUUUGUAUCUUUUUGUAUUUUUUUAUAUUUGGUAAUCUCAUGUGUAUAUCGAUCACAUAUCGGCUUGCCUGGUUCGUGACUACGCCAAUGGACGGCCACCACUACAUUUCAAUAUGAAUCAAUAAGAGAGAGUUUUAAUGCGAUCAAAACGGAAAGCUUUUUUAAAGCUCUCUGUUGUUUGUAAAAAUAAAAAAUUCAUUAUAAAACAGUAUAAAAUAACCAUUUUUGUUAAAAGCUUGUUAUUUAACGGUUUGCUGCUACAUCUCACUUAAAAUACUUUCAAUUCAAAAUCAAGUUUUCGACCUUGGUGCGAAUUUUUUCUGAAUUUUUCUUGAGGAUCACCGAUCAGCUCAGCUGUAAUUAUUAUAUAUUACAGUCGCCUUCCAUUUUAAAAAUUGCAGUAUGUUAAAUGUAACAUGGCACUAACAACAAACUGGCGCAAAUUAGGGGCAACAGUCUGUUAGUUACCUAUAUCCGCGACCAAAUAUAACUAUAUAUGCAAUCUUGUAUGAAUGCCACGCCAAAGUGCAGACGUAAGAGUGCAAGAGAGAGAAAAAGAGGACCUUAAAGACUCCCGCUGCUUAUGAUGCUUAUGAUCGCCCACUCGUGGAGGGCACUGCAUUCCCGCGUUAGCCAAAUGCCGCUACGUACAUAAUGUGCGCACAUAGCAUUCUUUCUCACCCCACCAUAUAUACAUGCAGCCGCUUCUCUGCUGGCUUCACCGGGUAGCUAAGGCGCACUUCAAAGGCUAAGAGGAAUAUUGUAUUAGCAUUAAGAAUCAGUUGAAUUUGGACAACAAAAGAAAGAAGUAACAAUAAAUAUAAACGGAGCUAUGCUCCAGAAAAACCAAAACAUUCUUGUGUCUUCA